rnacentral:lncRNA from 1 species
CCUAGAUUUACAGAACUGAGCCUCCUAACGUGGUGCUGGGGAUUUCAUUAGCGGGUUAAAGAAAAGAAGUGGACCCGUUAGUAUUUUGAAUAUAAAUAUGUAGUUAUCAGAUCUGCUUUGCCCCAUCCGUAAUUUUCCGAUCGGGACAGAAACUCAGCGGUCGCCCUCUAUUUAUGGUGGAGCACGACUGCACGAACCCUCCAAAAUCUCCCCAUGGGUAAAGGUAAUUAUUAAUUUAACGAGGAAAAAUUAAUCUCUGAUUCAUUCUUGUUGAUAUGAACAUAUAGUAGGUGACAGGGACGACGUCGAUUUUGUGAUAUCUGCCGAUUAAAUCAGUGGAAGGGCAAAAACCUUCUUUCGUUUCAUCACCAGGCGGCACUCGCUUUCUUCGGCGAUGACUAUAGGCUGCUGAGAUGGAUACAAGGUCGGCGUCUCUUCUCCGGCGGCGGCAACUGGUCACCAGCACCAGACAAUCAGGUGAAUCCGAUUUCUUACUGCAGUAAUCGAUUUAUUUAUUCCAAUCUAAACUCCUUGCACCUUGCAGAUUCAUAUUUAAUAUCUUUGCAUAUUGCAGAUCCGAAUAGAAGACUUAUCAUUGCAGAUUGCAGAUCCUGUUGAUUCCAUUGAUCUUGUUGCUAUCACAUUCCUACUUAAAUCAAAUCAUCUGACAUCUUCUCGCUCUCUCAUUGUAUCUGGCGGCGGCGACAUCUUUGCUUCUCUGCACUUGUCGUCGACAGUCACUUGAAAUUAAAAAAAGUAUUUCUAGAUAUGUUCCAGAGAAGUGUAUGUUUAGAUACUUUUUCAAAGAAGUGUAUGUUUAGAUACUUUUUGAAAGAAGAGUAUGCUCAGACAUCACACAGAAGAGUAUCAUCGACACUCUUUUUAUAAAUUAUAAGGUUUCAUUCGAUACUUCCUUGAAUAUGGUUGUAUCACUGGGUACAUUUUUAGACUAUAGUAGUGGCAAUACAUUGUUCUACAUUAUUUUUAAUAAAGUUUGUUCUAUAUUUUUCCGGUACAAUUA